CUGCCCAAUGAGAUAUUAAAUGGCCGCGGUAUUCUGACCGUGCAAAGGUAGCAUAAUCAUUAGUUUUUUAAUUGAAAGCUGGAAUGAAAGGUUGGAUAAGAAAAUAGCUGUCUCUAUUUAAAUUAUUUAAAACUUUAUUUUUAAGUAAGAAAGCUUAAAUUUUAAUAGAAGACGAGAAGACCCUAUAGAGUUUUAUAAAAUUUUAUAAAGAGGAUUUUUAGAAUAAAAUUUUUUUUUUAUUUUAUAAUAUUUAAUUGGGGUGAUUGAAAAAUUGGAAAAACUUUUUUUAUUAUAUAACAUUAAUUUAUGGUUAAUUGAUCCUUUAUUAAAGAUUAAAAGAUAAAAUUACCUUAGGGAUAACAGCGUAAUUUUUCUAAAGAGUUCAAAUCGAAAGAAAAGAUUGCGACCUCGAUGUUGGAUUAAAAUAAAAUUUUGGUGUAGAAGCUAAAGUAUUUGGGUCUGUUCGACCCUUAAAAUUUUACAUGAU
rnacentral:rRNA from 1 species